rnacentral:rRNA from 1 species
CCUACGGGUGGCAGCAGUAGGGAAUUUUCGGCAAUGGGGGGAACCCUGACCGAGCAACGCCGCGUGAGGGAGGAAGUAUUUCGGUAUGUAAACCUCUGUUAUAAAGGAAGAACGGUGCAUGUAGGGAAUGACAUGCAAGUGACGGUACCCACAGAGGAAGCACCGGCUAACUCCGUGCCAGCAGCCGCGGUAAUACGGAGGGUGCAAGCGUGUUCCGGAAUCAUUGGGCGUAAAGAGUUCGUAGGCGGCAUGUAAAGUCAGGUGUUAAAGGCGCAGGCUCAACCUGUGUAUGGCACUUGAUACGUGCAAGCUGGAAUGCGGUAGAGGUAAAGGGAAUUCCUGGUGUAGCGGUGAAAUGCUUAGAUAUCAGGAGGAACAUCGGUGGCGUAAGCGCUUUACUGGGCCGUAAUUGACGCUGAGGAACGAAAGCCAGGGUAGCAAAUGGGAUUAGAUACCCUUGUAGUC